CCAGGCAACGAGUGUUACAUAUUUAUGGCAGAGCAAGUCUCCUUAUAAUAUGUGUUCACAGCCCUUGCUACACCCCUCCUGCCAUCUAGAAAGAAUUCUGGCUUUUGUUCUAUAGCUUUUAUUAUAUGCCCUCUGGGGGAAUUGGAGUUUGUUGCUAGAUUCUACAUUUGUGAUGUAAAAAUGAGAGACUGGAGCCAGAGAAACAGAACUGAUAAGGUGAAGAAAGAGCCUUGAAGCAAAUAAGUAAUUCUCUCAGGACUCCACAACUAAAGCUAGGAUUUGAAUCCAGUUCUGGUGGGCCCCAGCCUGCCGUCUUUCCAUGAUGCCACAUGACACUUCCAUAACCAUCUGUUGAACUGACUGAAUCAAAAGGCUUCCCUUGUGAGGGACCUCUAUUUAUUCUGAUAUCGUACAUAAAUGGGAAAGGCUUAUUUCUGAUAUUUGAUUCAGGAGAGAAAAGCUUAGCUCCUAGCCUGGAAAGCAGACCGGCUUGCUGUACUAAGCUUGCCUGUGGGCUGGAUGGUUCAUUUUGAAGUCCAAUCACUUUGCACCUAGGAAAUGGCAUUGUUUACCGCAAAGGUUCAGCUAAAACUGUUGCAAAAAUUGCUCUGUGGCCAUUCACGUUUCUGGAAAUCAAUUUUCUGACCAGGUAGCUUACCUGAUGCAAAGAAGUAAGGAAUAAAAAAAAGGUUUCUUCAGACUGCCAACCAAGUUACCCUGGACCUUUCAAUGGCUAGGUAGUAAACUAAAUUGUAUGCACUUA